AUACGGAGGGUGCGAGCGUUAAUCGGAAUUACUGGGCGUAAAGCGUACGUAGGCGGUUGGUUAAGUUAGAUGUGAAAGCCCCGGGCUUAACCUGGGAACUGCAUUUAAAACUGGCGAACUAGAGUUGAGUAGAGGGGAGUGGAAUUUCAGGUGUAGCGGUGAAAUGCGUAGAGAUCUGAAGGAACACCAGUGGCGAAGGCGACUCCCUGGACUAAAACUGACGCUGAGGUACGAAAGCGUGGGUAGCAAACAGGAUUAGAAACCCCAGUAGUCC
rnacentral:rRNA from 1 species